ACCAACCAACUAACUAACCGGACCUAAAACCGGAAACCCACGCUCACGGCUCACCCUAUUAAAUACUUUCUCUCUCCUCCCUUCCAUUUAUUUUUCUUUUUUUCUUUCAUUUUUAUCCAAAUUAAUUAGUUGCCUCUUCGAAAACAAACUACUAUGAGGAUAGAUAAUUAUAUUUCGACACGGCCUGUCAAUUACAUAAUUUGAGUAUUUUUUUAUG
rnacentral:lncRNA from 1 species